AUUGAACGCUGGCGGCAGGCCUAACACAUGCAAGUCGAGCGAGCGGCGGACGGGUGAGUAAUGUCUGGGAAACUGCCUGAUGGAGGGGGAUAACUACUGGAAACGGUAGCUAAUACCGCAUACCAUCGGAUGUGCCCAGAUGGGAUUAGCUAGUAGGUGGGGUAACGGCUUACCUAGGCGACAAUCCCUAUCUGGUCUGAGAGUAUGACCAGCCACCCUGGAACUGUGACACGGUCCAGACUCCUACUGGAGGCAGCAGUGGUGAAUAUUGCACAAUGGGCGCAAGCCUGAUGCAGCCAUGCCGCGUGUAUGAAGAGGGCCUUCGGGUUGUAAAGUACUUUCAGCGAGGAGGCGUUACUCGUGGAAGAGGCACCGGCUAUCUCCGUGCCAGCAGCCGCGGUAAUUC
rnacentral:rRNA from 1 species